AUCUAGCUAGCGAGUCACAAAUAGGACGAAACGCGCGUUCUGGAU
rfam:Schistosoma rodhaini strain Burundi genome assembly, scaffold: SROB_scaffold0008053